UCGUUGGGCCUGACAAACCCAAAGGCGUAAUGAAAGUGAAGGAGGCUUCCUGCUUUCUGAGGGAGGACGGGCUUGCUCGCGAGCAAUCGCGCUUGUCCCCGCACUCCCGGGGCGUCUAUCGCUCAUUGCGAGCGGAGGCGCACCCAGAGCGCACACGUUGGGACCCGAAAGAUGGUGAACUAUGCUUGGCGAGGACGAAGCCAGGGGAAACCCUGGUGGAGGUCCGUAGCGAUUCUGACGUGCAAAUCGAUCGUCGGAGCCGAGUAUAGGGGCGAAAGACUAAUCGAACCAUCUAGUAGCUGGUUCCCUCCGAAGUUUCCCUCAGGAUAGCUGGCGAUCGUGUUCUCGAGUCUCAUCUGGUAAAGCGAAUGAUUAGAGGUCUUGGGGCCGAAACGGCCUCAACCUAUUCUCAAACUUUAAAUGGAUGAGAACCCCGACUUUCUUAACUGUGAAGCCGGGGCUCGGAUC
rnacentral:rRNA from 1 species